GUCUGGGUGGCUCAGUUGGUUAAGCGUCUGACUUCAGCUCAGGUCAUGAUCUCACAGUCCGUGGGUUCAAGCUCCAUAUCAGGCU
rfam:Felis catus isolate Cinnamon breed Abyssinian chromosome A3, whole genome shotgun sequence.